GGACUACUCGGGUAUCUAAUCCUGUUUGCUCCCCGCACUUUCGCGCCUCAGCGUCAGUCAUCGGCUGGAAAUCCGCCUUCGCCACCGGUGUUCUUCCUGAUAUCUACAGAUUUCACCCCUACACCAGGAAUUCCGAUUCCCCCUCCGUGACUCUAGUCUCUCAGUUUCCAAUGCAGUUCCCAAGUUAAGCUUAGGUAUUUCACAUCAGACUUGAAAAACCGCCUACGCGCCCUUUACGCCCAAUAAUUCCGAACAACGCUCGCCCCUUACGUGUUACCGCGGCUGCUGGCAC
rnacentral:rRNA from 1 species